rnacentral:rRNA from 1 species
UACAGAGGGUGCGAGCGUUUAAUCGGAAUUACUGGGCGUAAAGCGCGCGUAGGCGGCUUUGCAAGUCGGGUGUGAAAUCCCCCAGGCUUAACCUGGGGAACUGCAUUCGAGACUGCAUUGCUAGAGUAUGGGGAGAGGGGAAGUGGAAUUUCCGGUGUAGCGGUGAAAUGCGUAGAUAUCGGAAGGAACAUCAGUGGCGAAAGCGACUUCCUGGACCAAAUACUGACGCUCAUGUGCGAAAAGCGUGGGGAGCAAACAGG